rnacentral:tRNA from 1 species
GGGUCCUUGGUCUAGUGGUAUGAUUCUCCCUUUGGGUGGGAGAGGUCGCGGAUUCGAUUCCCGCAGGACCCC